rnacentral:tRNA from 2 species
UAGAGAAUAGUAUAAGGUGGUAGUGCAAAAAAUUUUGGAUUUUUUUAUGGAGGUUCGAGUCCUCUUUCUCUAG